GCUUACGGCCAUACCACCCUGAACACGCCCGAUCUCGUCUGAUCUCGGAAGCCAAGCAGGGUCGGGCCUGGUCAGUACUUGGAUGGGAGACCGCCUGGGAAUACCAGGUGCUGUAAGCU
rnacentral:rRNA from 1 species